rnacentral:rRNA from 1 species
CGAGCGAAGCAUAUAACAUGAAGUUUUCGGACGGAAUGUUAUCUGACUGACCGGCGGACGGGUGAGUAACGCGUGGGUAACCUGCCUUAUACAGGGGGAUAACAGUUAAAAAUGACUGCUAAUACCGCAUAACCGCACAGUACCGCAUGGUAGUGUGUGAAAAACUCCGGUGGUAUAAAAUGGACCCGCGUCUGAUUAGCCAGUUGGCGGGGUAACGGCCCACCAAAGCAACAAUCAGUACCCAACCUGAAAGGGUGACCGGCCACAUUGGGACUGAAACACGGCCCAAACUCCUACGGGAGGCACCAGUAGGGAAUAUUGCACAAUGGGGGAAACCCUGAUGCACCAACCCCGCGUGAGUGAAAAAGUAUUUCGGUAUGUAAAGCUCUAUCACCAGGGAAAAAAAUGACGGUACCUGAUUAAGAAGCCCCGGCUAACUACGUGCCAGCAGCCGCGGUAAUACGUAGGGGGCAAGCGUUAUCCGGAUUUACUGGGUGUAAAGGGAGCGCAGACGGCAGCGCAAGUCUGGAGUGAAAGCCCGGGGCCCAACCCCGGAACUGCUCUGGAAACUGUGCGGCUAGAGUACUGGAGGGGCAAGCGGAAUUCCUAGUGUAGCGGU